rnacentral:rRNA from 1 species
UACGUAGGGUGCAAGCGUUAAUCGGAAUUACUGGGCGUAAAGCGUGCGCAGGCGGUUGUGUAAGACAGAUGUGAAAUCCCCGGGCUCAACCUGGGAACUGCAUUUGUGACUGCACGGCUGGAGUGCGGCAGAGGGGGAUGGAAUUCCAGGUGUAGCGGUGAAAUGCGUAGAUAUCUGGAGGAACAUCGGUGGCGAAGGCGGCAUCCUGGACCGGUAUUGACGCUGAGGCGCGAAAGCCAGGGGAGCAAACGGG